UACGUAGGGGGCGAGCGUUGUCCGAAUUUACUGGGCGUAAAGCGCGCGUAGGCGGACUUUUAAGUUGGGGGUGAAAUCUCAAGGCUUAACCUUGAAACUGCCUCCAAAACUGGAAGUCUUGAGGUAUGGAGAGGGAAGUGGAAUUCCUGGUGUAGCGGUGAAAUGCGUAGAUAUCAGGAGGAACACCCGUGGCGAAGGCGGCUUCCUGGCCAUAUCCUGACGCUGAGGUGCGAAAGCUAGGGGAGCGAACGGG
rnacentral:rRNA from 1 species